rnacentral:rRNA from 1 species
CCUACGGGAGGCAGCAGUGAGGAAUAUUGGUCAAUGGGCGCGAGCCUGAACCAGCCAAGUAGCGUGAAGGAUGACUGCCCUACGGGUUUUAAACUUCUUUAAUAAAGGAAUAAAGUAAGGCACGUGUGCCUUUUUGUAUGUACUUUAUAAAUAAAGAUGGGCUAAUUCCGUGCCAGCGGCCCCGGUAAUACGGAGGUUCCGAGCGUUAUCCGGAUUUAUUUGGUUUAAAGGGAGCGUAGAUGGGUUGUUAAGUCAGUUGUGAAACUUUGCGGCUCAACGGUACAAUUGCAAUUGAUACUGGCAGUCUUGAGUGCAGUUGAGGUAGGUGGAAUGCGUGGUGUAGCGGUGAAAUGCGUAGAUAUCACGAAGAACACCAAUUGCGAAGGCAGCUUACUAAACUGUAACUGACAUUGAGGCUCGAAAGUGUGGGUAUCAAACAGGAUUAGAUACCCUUGUAGUC